rnacentral:rRNA from 2 species
ACAUUCGGACAUUGGAUAUCACAUGAGCCUAAAUCGGAUUAGCUAAUAGGUGAGCUAAUGGCGCAACAAGGCGACGAUCGUUAUGUGCUAUGAGAGGAUGAUCAGUCACAUGGUAAGUGAGAAUGGUUCCAGACUCUUACGGGAGGCAGCAGUGGGGAAUAUUGGACAAUGGACGAAUGCGUGAUCCAGCCAUACGGGGUGUAUCAAGAAGCUCUUAGGCUGGUAAAGCACUUUAGGCUGGAAGGAAGUAUAGUUGAUUAAUACUCGGCGAUGAUGACGGUACCGACAGAAUAAGCACCGGCUAACUUUGUGCCAGCAGCCGCGGUAAUACAGAGGGUGCAAGCGUUAAUCGGAAUUACUGGGCG